rnacentral:rRNA from 1 species
GUCAGUGUAUUGUAUGCGGCUGUGUGUAUACGCAGGUACCAAGCGUUAUUCGUCGUAAUAUGGGUUCAGGGGUCAGAAGGGUGCUUGAUAAGUUGGUGGGGAAAGCAUAUCGUUUAACGAUGCAACGGACAUUGGUACUUUAGGGAAUGAAUUUUUGUAAAGUAAGUAGGAUAUUUAGUGUAGCUGUGAAAUGCUUAGAUAUUACAUGGAAUACCAAUUGCGAAGGCAGGUUAUUAACAAACUAUUGACGCUUAUGGUCGAAAGCGUGGGGAGCGAACAGGAUUAGAUGCCCCAGUAGUC